CAUCUAAGUACCCCGAGGAAAAGAAAUCAACCGAGAUUCCCCCAGUAGCGGCGAGCGAACGGGGAGCAGCCCAGAGUCUGAAUCAGCUUGUGUGUUAGUGGAACGGUCUGGAAAGUCCGACGGUACAGGGUGAUAGUCCCGUACACCAAAAUGCACAGGCUGUGAACUCGAAGAGUAGGGCGGGACACGUGGUAUCCUGUCUGAAUAUGGGGGGACCAUCCUCCAAGGCUAAAUACUCCUGACUGACCGAUAGUGAACCAGUACCGUGAGGGAAAGGCGAAAAGAACCCCGGCGAGGGGAGUGAAAAAGAACCUGAAACCGUGUACGUACAAGCAGUGGGAGCACCUUCGGGUGUGACUGCGUACCUUUUGUAUAAUGGGUCAGCGACUUAUAUUCUGUAGCAAGGUUAACCGUAUAGGGGAGCCGCAGGGAAACCGAGUCUUAACUGGGCGUUAAGUUGCAGGGUAUAGACCCGAAACCCGGUGAUCUAGCCAUGGGCAGGUUGAAGGUUGGGUAACACUAACUGGAGGACCGAACCGACUAAUGUUGAAAAAUUAGCGGAUGACUUGUGGCUGGGGGUGAAAGGCCAAUCAAACCGGGAGAUAGCUGGUUCUCCCCGAAAGCU
rnacentral:rRNA from 1 species